rnacentral:rRNA from 1 species
AUCAGGGUGACUGCGUACCUUUUGUAUAAUGGGUCAGCGACUUAUAUUCUGUAGCAAGGUUAACCGAAUAGGGGAGCCGGAGGGAAACCGAGUCUUAACUGGGCGUUAAGUUGCAGGGUAUAGACCCGAAACCCGGUGAUCUAGCCAUGGGCAGGUUGAAGGUUGGGUAACACUAACUGGAGGACCGAACCGACUAAUGUUGAAAAAUUAGCGGAUGACUUGUGGCUGGGGGUGAAAGGCCAAUCAAACCGGGAGAUAGCUGGUUCUCCCCGAAAGCUAUUUAGGUAGCGCCUCGUGAAUUCAUCUCCGGGGGUAGAGCACUGUUUCGGCAAGGGGGUCAUCCCGACUUACCAACCCGAUGCAAACUGCGAAUACCGGAGAAUGUUAUCACGGGAGACACACGGCGGGUGCUAACGUCCGUCGUGAAGAGGGAAACAACCCAGACCGCCAGCUAAGGUCCCAAAGUCAUGGUUAAGUGGGAAACGAUGUGGGAAGGCCCAGACAGCCAGGAUGUUGGCUUAGAAGCAGCCAUCAUUUAAAGAAAGCGUAAUAGCUCACUGGUCGAGUCGGCCUGCGCGGAAGAUGUAACGGGGCUAAACCAUGCACCGAAGCUGCGGCAGCGACACUGUGUGUUGUUGGGUA